GAGUUUAAAAAACAAGUGGCACUAGAAUUUCUCACCUCACUGAUUGCCAGGGUAGAUUUGGCUCAACUGGCUGGCUAGGCAGGUGUCCCUUUCCUCCCUCACUGCCCCAUGUGCAUCCCUCCCGAAGCUGUGCACUUGAAGAGGACAAUCUUAUAAAGGAGGACCAUUCUUUGUCAAGGGCAUAUGAGUAGCUGUGCUCCCCUGCUAGAACCUACAAACAAGCUCUCAAGAUCCGUUUGUCAGAGAACAUGGGGUAGUCAUGCUUUCAACACUCCGGACGUAUCUGAAUGAGGCACUGCAGAUGGCAGUCGCCUUUCUAU
ensembl:misc_RNA 7SK 7SK RNA